UUCAGUUGGAUGACCUUUCUGUGUUCAUGUAAUCAUGUCGUUGUAUUACGACAGAAACUAUGUAACUGUACAAAUCGGGCAGGGAUAAGAUAAGAACAAUACAUGGAAGUGUUCUCUUUGACUAACCAAUCUUUUCAGGUUAAACCAUGAAUUACGUCACUUUUCUGGUGCUGGUAAUCUUAAUGACGUCAGUGUCUACUAUUCCCGUUUUACAAAGAGAUUUAGAAGAAAGGACAUUGCACACAACUGCUCCGCCAAACACCGAUCAUGGAAUUCUGCAGCAACUCGGGGAGUAUUUCAGAGGUAGGGAUAUUCCAGACAAUCCGGUACCCGCAAACACUGUGGACAGCACCAUAGCCAGGGACGAUAUUCUACACGAGCUUGGAGAAUACUGGAAAGGGCGAAUAGCUGCCUUAAUUAAUCAAGCCAUUCAUCAACCGAUAAACCUUAUUUCUAACUUAAUUGGGAAUGGAAAGUAAAUUUGAUCAAAACUAGUUCGUUUCAUUUUGUAAAAAAUAUAAUACGUUAGUGAUAAAUACAGGUACCGCCGUUGAAGAGAAGUAUGCUACAUUCAUAUC